rnacentral:rRNA from 1 species
GACGAACGCUGGCGGCGUGCCUAAUACAUGCAAGUCGAACGCUUCUUUCCUCCCGAGUGCUUGCACUCAAUUGGAAAGAGGAGUGGCGGACGGGUGAGUAACACGUGGGUAACCUACCCAUCAGAGGGGGAUAACACUUGGAAACAGGUGCUAAUACCGCAUAACAGUUUAUGCCGCAUGGCAUAAGAGUGAAAGGCGCUUUCGGGUGUCGCUGAUGGAUGGACCCGCGGUGCAUUAGCUAGUUGGUGAGGUAACGGCGCACCAAGGCCACGAUGCAUAGCCGACCUGAGAGGGUGAUCGGCCACACUAGGACGGAGCCACGGCCCAGAAUCCUACGGUAGGCAGCAGUAGGGAAUCUUCGGCAAUGGACGAAAGUAUGACCGAGCAAGGCAGCGUGAGUGGAGAAGGUUUUCGGAUCGUAAAACUCUGUUGUUAGAGAAGAACAAGGACGUUAGUAACUGAACGUCCCCUGACGGUAUCUAACCAGAAAGCCACGGCUAACUACGUG